UACGUAGGGUGCAAGCGUUGUCCGGAAUUAUUGGGCGUAAAGAGCUCGUAGGCGGUCUGUCGCGUCGGCUGUGAAAACCCGGAGCUCAACUCCGGGCCUGCAGUCGAUACGGGCUGGCUGGAGGCAGGCAGGGGAGAACGGAAUUCCUGGUGUAGCGGUGAAAUGCGCAGAUAUCAGGAGGAACACCGGUGGCGAAGGCGGUUCUCUGGGCCUGUUCUGACGCUGAGGAGCGAAAGCGUGGGGAGCGAACAGG
rnacentral:rRNA from 1 species